AUUGAACGCUGGCGGCAUGCUUUACACAUGCAAGUCGAACGGUAACAGGCCGCAAGGUGCUGACGAGUGGCGAACGGGUGAGUAAUGCAUCGGAACGUGCCCAGUCGUGGGGGAUAACUACUCGCAAGAGUAGCUAAUACCGCAUACGAUCUAUGGAUGAAAGCGGGGGACCGUAAGGCCUCGCGCGAUUGGAGCGGCCGAUGUCAGAUUAGGUAGUUGGUGGGGUAAAGGCUCACCAAGCCAACGAUCUGUAGCUGGUCUGAGAGGACGACCAGCCACACUGGGACUGAAACACGGCCCAGACUCCUACGGGAGGCAGCAGUGGGGAAUUUUGGACAAAGGGCGCAAGCCUGAUCCAGCAAUGCCGCGUGCAGGAAGAAGGCCUUCGGGUUGUAAACUGCUUUUGUACGGAACGAAACGGCUCUGGUUAAUACCCGGGGCUAAUGACGGUACCGUAAGAAUAAGCACCGGCUAACUACGUG
rnacentral:rRNA from 1 species